rnacentral:rRNA from 1 species
GACGAACGCUGGCGGCGUGCUUAACACAUGCAAGUCGAACGGAAAGGCCCCUUUGGGGGUACUCGAGUGGCGAACGGGUGAGUAACACGUGAGUAACCUGCCCUUGACUUCGGGAUAACUUCAGGAAACUGGGGCUAAUACCGGCUAGGAAUCCUUGCUGCAUGGUGGGGGUUGGAAAGCUUCGGCGGUUUUGGGUGGACUCGCGGCUUAUCAGCUUGUUGGUGGGGUAGUGGCUUACCAAGGCUUUGACGGGUAGCCGGCCUGAGAGGGCGACCGGCCACAUUGGGACUUGGAUACGGCCCAGACUCCUACGGGAGGCAGCAGUGGGGAAUAUUGCACAAUGGGCGGAAGCCUGAUGCAGCAACGCCGCGUGCGGGAUGACGGCCUUCGGGUUGUAAACCGCUUUCAGCAGGGGCGAAGCUUGUGGUGACGGUACCUGCAGAAGAAGCACCGGCUAACUACGUG